GGGUCCGUAGUUCAAUAGUAGAAUACUAUCUUUGACAAAUAGGGAUCCGGGUGCAACUCCCGGCGGAUCCA
rnacentral:tRNA from 1 species